GCACAAGCGACGUCAUCUACUCUUUCACUAGUGUCGACCCUUGCUUUCAUUGCUAAUAAUACACGCAUGCUCCACAACUAAUACAGAAGAUGCAUUUCCAUCCCAUCUAGUAGGUGCUGACUCGAUGCAAACAAAUAAAAUAAAAUUAGUAGGUGUUGACUUCUCACACCCCAUAUAUGCUGAGCGAUGCUAACUGCUGUACCAAUGUGAUGUUGCUUGCUUGACUGAUGACUGGUUGUCAUUAACUAGAAAAAAGAAGAAGAAAACCUUGUCAAUUUAUUUGAGUAGAAUCAUGUAUCCAUUCAUUAGACAACCAGUACUACUACUUGUAUUUGCACGUUCGCUUCCUUGCUUGCUUGUAGCACUAUCAAGUGUGAGGAAAUUCAGUACUAGGAUGUGUGGAGCUGGGACGCUGUUGGAUCAUUAGGACUUGUAGCACUAUCAAGUUUGUACUGAUUGCAGAUAGAAAACCUUAUAAUUUUGUUUCUGUAAGCUAAACUUUGUGAUUUAAUUUCUGGAAGCUAAACAUUGUAAGUCUAUUAAGAAACUUGAGCAAAAUCAGUCCACAAGUUAGUUGAAGUCACAAGUGCCUUUUAUUGACAGAGUCUUCUGCCAGGGCGAAUGUUAUAUUCAAAACCACUUCUGAUCACUUUGUGUUUUCUUUUUUAAUAUUUUAUUGUGUCUUGCUUGUUGGGAAUUGAUCCAGUUAAGUGGCUGACUGGGAAUAUUAUGCUAUCAAGUUCGUGUCUUGGUGCGUCUGAGAAUGUUGUUUCUUUCUUUCUUUCUUCCUUUUGUUGCAAACUGAAAAGAAAGUGCAAUGUGAACCUGGAAGGUGCAUAUACUGCUACUACUUUUGUGUGCCAACUGCUAUACUAGUUGGUUUGUGAUGAGCCAAACAAGUCGACAACAGUAGUACUGUUGGUAGUUGGUGUUUAAUUUCAUCGCUGCCAUGGUAUUUAUUCUUUCGACAUGUCAUGUAUAUGCUUGGUUCCUUGAUGGGUGCACUUUCUAACACGCGCAGGUGCAAGACAGAGACACACCACCAUGCAAUGAUUCUUCUUCCACUCGCAGGCCUCCCACUCCGGUAACUCUUUUUCUGCUCUAGCAUAGCAUAGCUGGUAAGCAACCGAUCCUCUCUUUUGCUCUCUCUUGCUCUAUUAUCUUGCUCUGCGUGUGUCCAUGACCACACACCCCUUCUGCUAAGUUAUGUUCUGGCGAUGGUGAUUUCUGUCUAGUGCUUAUGAUGCUUUGGACUUGUAGUUUAGUGAUGCCAAGUGUUGCAUCGAUAAUAUUUGAUCAAAACCACCCAUUUAAGUUGAACAAUUGAAGAGAGCCUGCUGAAGUUUUUUGCAUGACUUGCACUUGAGCCAUGCAUAUUCAUAUUAUGUAUCUGUUUUCCUGUAUGUAUGGGUAUCUCAUUUUAACUAGUUGGAGGACAAAAAGCAUGGCACUAGCUUAAUUUGUGUUAUCAUUCUAAAUAAAUGUCAUUUUCUUGAAUGGUCUGUUCAAUAUAUUUGCCCCAAUUUUUCUUAUUUCUCUCUCAUUCAUGUAACAGGGUGACAGAGGAAGCCAUGUUGCAGUUUUGUUUGUUGCCAGCCCUGACUUCGGUCGUCCAGUGAGUUUGGCAUGUUGUUCAUCUGACUACGGUCGUCCAGCGAGUCUGUCAUGUUGUUCAUCUAACUAAGUCGUCCAGCGAGUCUGGCAUGUUGUCAUUUUCUUGUAAAGCAGUACCGUAUUACACUUGUAGAGCUCGUUAGUACACUUG
rnacentral:lncRNA from 1 species